rnacentral:rRNA from 1 species
AAGUCGUAACAAGGUCUCCGUAGGUGAACCUGCGGAGGGAUCAUUACAAGAACGCCCGGGCUUCGGCCUGGUUAUUCAUAACCCUUUGUUGUCCGACUCUGUUGCCUCCGGGGCGACCCUGCCUUCGGGCGGGGGCUCCGGGUGGACACUUCAAACUCUUGCGUAACUUUGCAGUCUGAGUAAACUCAAUUAAUAAAUUAAAACUUUUAACAACGGAUCUCUUGGUUCUGGCAUCGAUGAAGAACGCAGCGAAAUGCGAUAAGUAAUGUGAAUUGCAGAAUUCAGUGAAUCAUCGAAUCUUUGAACGCACAUUGCGCCCCCUGGUAUUCCGGGGGGCAUGCCUGUUCGAGCGUCAUUUCACCACUCAAGCCUCGCUUGGUAUUGGGCAACGCGGUCCGCCGCGUGCCUCAAAUCGUCCGGCUGGGUCUUCUGUCCCCUAAGCGUUGUGGAAACUAUUCGCUAAAGGGUGUUCGGGAGGCUACGCCGUAAAACAACCCCAUUUCUAAGGUUGACCUCGGAUCAGGUAGGGAUACCCGCCGAACUUAA